UACGGAGGGGGCUAGCGUUAUUCGGAAUUACUAGGCGUAAAGGGCGCGUAGGCGGUUUACCAAGUCAGGCGUGAAAGGCCUGGGCUCAACCCGGGAACUGCGCUUGAUACUGGUGGACUUGAGUCCGGGAGAGGAUGGCGGAAUUCCCAGUGUAGAGGUGAAAUUCGUAGAUAUUGGGAAGAACACCGGUGGCGAAGGCGGCCAUCUGGACCGGAACUGACGCUGAGGCGCGAAAGCGUGGGGAGCAAACAGG
rnacentral:rRNA from 1 species